CCUACGGGAGGCAGCAGUGAGGAAUAUUGGACAAUGGGCGCAAGCCUGAUCCAGCCAUGCCGCGUGCAGGAUGACGGUCCUAUGGAUUGUAAACUGCUUUUGUACAGGAAGAAACAGUUCUACGUGUAGAACCUUGACGGUACUGUAAGAAUAAGGAUCGGCUAACUCCGUGCCAGCAGCCGCGGUAAUACGGAGGAUCCAAGCGUUAUCCGGAAUCAUUGGGUUUAAAGGGUCCGUAGGCGGUCUAGUAAGUCAGUGGUGAAAGCCCAUCGCUCAACGGUGGAACGGCCAUUGAUACUGCUAGACUUGAAUUAUUAGGAAGUAACUAGAAUAUGUAGUGUAGCGGUGAAAUGCUUAGAGAUUACAUGGAAUACCAAUUGCGAAGGCAGGUUACUACUAAUGGAUUGACGCUGAUGGACGAAAGCGUGGGUAGCGAACAGGAUUAGAUACCCUGGUAGUCCACGCCGUAAACGAUGGAUACUAGCUGUUGGAAGCAAUUUCAGUGGCUAAGCGAAAGUGAUAAGUAUCCCACCUGGGGAGUACGUUCGCAAGAAUGAAACUCAAAGUAGUAAUUGACGAGNGAGAGACGACGACGACGACGACGGAGGGAGGAGG
rnacentral:rRNA from 1 species